rnacentral:rRNA from 1 species
CGGCUUCCUGUCGCACGCGUCGCUGGAGGCGGGCGACAACCAGGCGCAGGCGGGCCAGGACGCGGUGCAACUGAUGACGGUCCACGCGGCGAAGGGGCUCGAGUUCACCGCGGUGUUCAUCACCGGGCUCGAGGAAGGGCUCUUCCCGCACGAGAACAGCGCGCUCGAAUCCGACGGCCUCGAAGAGGAACGCCGGCUGAUGUACGUCGCGAUCACGCGCGCCAAGGAGCGGCUCUACCUGUCGUUCGCGCAGAGCCGGAUGCUGCACGGCCAGACCCGCUACAACAUCCGCUCGCGCUUUUUCGACGAGCUGCCGCAGCACGUGCUCAAGUGGCUCACGCCGAAGGUCGAGGCGGGCGCCCGCUGGGGCGGCCGCUCGGACAACGCCGGCUGGGGCCGCGACUGGUUCGCGCGGCCGGGCGGCGGCGCGCGGCAGGGCGUGGUCGACGCGGCGGUGUCCGCGCCGCUGCCCGCGUUCGCGAACCAGCAGCGCGAGGCGCAGAACGGCUUGCGGAUCGGCCAGCAGGUGUUCCACACGAAGUUCGGCGAAGGCACGGUGACGGCGCUCGAAGGCAGCGGCACCGACGCGAAGGCGCAAGUCAAAUUCAAGCGGCACGGCGAGAAGUGGCUCGCGCUCGCGGUCGCGAAACUGCAGGCGGUCGAAUGAAUCAGCAGACGUUUUUCGAUCGGCCGCUCGGCAUUCUCGCCGCGCUGCCGGAGGAGCUGGGCGACCUCGUCGCGGCGAUGCGCGACGACGGGCCCGUCGACACGGUCACGCUCGGCCGGCGCGAUUACCACGUCGGCGUCGCGCACGGCGUGCGCUGCGUCGUCACGCUCGCGCGGGUCGGCAAGGUCGCGGCGGCCGCGACGGCGAGCGCGCUCAUCCAUCGCUUCGACGUGCGCGCGAUCGUGUUCACGGGCGUCGCGGGCGGCGUCGCGAGCGACGUGAGCGUCGGCGACGUCGUCGUCGCCGAUGCGCUGCUGCAGCACGAUCUCGACGCGUCGCCGCUCUUUCCGCGCUUCGAGGUGCCGCUGCUCGGGCUCACGCGCUUCGCCGCCGACGCGGCGCUCGCCGCGCAGCUGAAGGCGGCCUGCGCGCGCUUCGUCGACGACGAGGGCGAGACGCUGAACGCGCGUUUCCGGCUGCACGGCGCGCGCGUGCACGCAGGGCUCAUCGUCAGCGGCGACCGCUUCGUGUCGAGCGAGCGCGAGGUGAGCGCGCUGCGCGACGCGCUGCCGGACGCGCUCGCGGUGGAGAUGGAAGGCGCGGCGCUCGCGCAGGUGUGCCAUGAGUACGGCGUGCCGUGCGCGAUCGUUCGCACGAUCUCGGAUACCGCCGACGAUCACGCGAGCACGUCGUUCACGACAUUUCUCACCGACAUCGCGGGCGCCUAUUCGUCGGGCAUCCUGAAGCGGUUUCUGGCCGCGCACGCGCGGGCGAACGCGGCUUGAGCCGAAAGGGCGAAUCCGGGGCGGGCGGCGCGUGCCGGCGACCGCCCGCCGGACGUUUCGGUCGUUCGGGGCCUUCGGGUUUCCGAGGCGCGCCAAGCGCCUGGGCCCCUUGGGAACAUCGGCCCCUCGGACGUUUCAAUUCCGCGCUCGGGGCGCUCGGCGUUCUCUACGCCGUUUAGCCUCCUUGGUCGCCAAGUCGCCAAGUCGCCAAGUCGCCAAGUCGCCAAGUUACCAAGUCGCCAAGCGGCCGGACCGCUCGGGCCGCCGAGGCCCCCGAGGCCGCCCCCGUUCGCGGGCGGCCGCGCGGAUCGCGCGCCCCCGUCAGGCGCGUUGCUUGUCGAGCGUCGUCCUGCCCUCGACGUUCGGCAGGAACACCGUCAGCACGCCGAUCAGCGGCAGGAACGAGCAGACCUUGUAGACGAACGCGAUGCUCGUCGCGUCGGCGAGCUGGCCGAGCACCGCCGCGCCGACGCCGCCGAGGCCGAACGACAGGCCGAAAAAGAGCCCGGCGACCGUGCCGACCUUACCCGGAAUCAGCUCCUGGCCGUAGACGAUGAUCGCCGCGAACGCCGAUGCGAGCACGACGCCGAUCACGAUGGUCAGCACUGUGGUCCAGAACAGAUUCGCAUACGGCAGCAUCAGCGUGAACGGCGCGACGCCGAGAAUCGACGUCCAGAUCACGUACUUGCGCCCGAUCCGGUCGCCGACGGGCCCGCCGAUGAUCGUGCCCGCCGCGACGGCCGCGAGGAACACGAACAGGUGGAUCUGCGCGGCCUGCACCGACAGGUGGAACUUGUCGAUCAGAUAGAACGUGAAAUAGCUGUUGAUGCUCGCCAGAUAGAAGUACUUCGAGAACACGAGCAUCACGAGCACGCCGAGCGCGAGCCCGACCUGCCGGCGCGACAGCGUCGGAUGCGCGGCGUGUGCGGCCUUCUUCUUCGCGGCCGGAUGGCGCCGAUACCAGCGGCCGAUCUGGACGAGCACGAAGAUCGCGACGAGCGCCGCGGCCGAAAACCACGCGAUGCUGCGCUGGCCGUGCGGGAUCACGAUCAGCGCGGCGAGCAGCGGCCCGAGCGACGAGCCGGCGUUGCCGCCGACCUGGAACAGCGAUUGCGCGAGCCCGUGCCGGCCGCCCGACGCCAUCCGCGCGACGCGCGACGAUUCCGGGUGAAACACCGAUGAGCCGCAGCCGACGAGCGCGGCCGCGACGAGCAGGAACGGGAACGUCGGCGCGAACGCCAUCAGCAGCAGGCCGGUGAGCGUGAAGCCCAUGCCGACGGGCAGCGAGAACGGCUGCGGACGCUUGUCCGUGUACAAGCCGAUCACGGGCUGCAGCAGCGACGCGGUGAUCUGGUACGUGAGCGUGAUGAGGCCGAUCUGCGCGAACGACAGCGAGAAUUCCGAUUUCAGCAUCGGAUAGAUCGCGAGGAUCAGCGACUGGAUCAUGUCGUUGAGCAGAUGCGAGAAGCUGAUCGCGCCGAGCACCGGGUAGACGGUGCGCGAGACGGCUGCCGGCGCGGGCGACGCGGCGGCACGGGCAACGGACGGGCG